CAAGAAUUUACAGCUUUGGUUCGUAACACAAGAAAGACGUGGGUCAUAUUCCCAAAAUCUGAAUAGAGCGGCCUCAUCAGAGGAUCAUGUUUUUUCUCGGGAAUGUCCAAUUUGGCUUCAACUUUCGGAAAAUGUACUUUCCUCCAAAAUUUUCUAAAUCGAGCUUGUUCUACCCACACUCAUCUUUUGCGUGGCGGUUUGCGACCAUCCCAAAUCAAUUCAGCAAGUGACUUGACGCCAGGCGCCCAAGGCGCCAGUCCUACACCGCUUUUAGAUUUCCACGGGCCUAUUGCGACUUAGGAAUUUAAUCGGAAUAUUUCAUUUAGUUUUGCAACGUCGCCAGUGAACGGAAAACUCGGAGAGUAUAUAUGAACCUGUCGGAACAACCGAUGACUCCCGUCAGCCUCCGACAAGGCACUAUAUAACGUAGUCCUGAACAAUGUGCUCCUCGUUUGCAGAGCUUUAAUGCGAGACCUUUUGAUUGUGAAGCAUGUGAAUUGUGACAGUGCUGAGUGUCAUGUCGGUUCUUAAGAGCGUGUGUAUUUUGUUUUUCGGGACUAUAAUACAGGUUGCCAUUAUCUCGGCAAUCGACGCAAGCCAUGGACACGCAAUACAAAUCUACAUCGGCGAGAAAACUUACGGUGGUGACCAAGAGGGCGAAAUCAGCUCUCUCCAAACGCGGGAACCAAUCGUUUUGGCCAUCACGGUAGCCUCUUUGGUAAUGUCGAAUCUGCACAACAUACAACCGGCUCUGACAGCCAUCCGGGAUGUCAUGCGUCUCCUGAACCCUGUGGCCACUGCCAGCACCCGCCUGGAGAACGGUGGUCAGAGACGCAACGAUGGCACGAUCUUCUGGCAGGGAAGGCUCCUCGAGUUCAACACUGACGAAGGGGUCCACGUGUUUGUCAUCAGUCCGGAAAAAUCGCUGGAAAUCGUCACUUCAGGCAAGAGAGUCCUUCUGAACGAUUAUCCUGUCUGCCAGAACACGGAUCAGUUGGGCGAGCCGCAAUAUCGGAAAUUGAAACUGCAGGAUGAGAAGGUGGAAACUACAUUUUAUACGUCUUGGUGGUAUACGAACCUCAGAGUAGGCGACCCGAUGACGGAAGAGGAGGUGGCGCAAUUCAUGAAUCUCCAAAAAGAGGUGCAGAUUGAGAGGGAGAAGGCGGUCAAUGAUAUCAUUGCCGUGGCUCGAGAAAGUAUCGCCAAGGCUGCAAGAAUUGGAUUGAAGUUGGUAGACGUCCCGGCUCAAAUGACGAUGGAAGCGGUGCAAGGUGCGGUGCAAGGUGUGGUGGCAGCCCCUCGGAUGGUGGUCAGCGCGGCCGGUGCGGUGGGCAAGAGCGUGAGCCAAGGGUGGAAAAGCGCCGUCACUUUCUCGAAAGACAGCCUCAGCCGAGAAUCCGGUGGGACCGCCGGCCUAUCGGGCAUGAUCAACUCCAGACUCUGGGGGCCCAUGCCUGAGGGGCAACAGCCCCCGACGUCGCCUCUUCCUAGGACGGACAGUCAGAGCUCGCCGACCGCCGAAGAAGUCAACGCCAUGAUACACAAGUCCAACAGCGGACGCAUGGAUGGGCUCAACAGAUGGCUUUUCGGAUCCCCGCCGAGAGGAGCUCCGCAGAAAGCCCCCAGCUCCGGGUUCAAGUUGAGCGGCUUCGGCAAGAAGGGUUUCAACAAACUUUUCUCGCGCAAGGGUUCCAGCUCCGGAUGA
rnacentral:lncRNA from 1 species